rnacentral:rRNA from 1 species
AGUGAACGCUGGCGGUAGGCCUAACACAUGCAAGUAGAACGGCAGCACAGUAAGAGCUUGCUCUUACGGGUGGCGAGUGGCGGACGGGUGAGGAAUACAUCGGAAUCUACUUUUUCGUGGGGGAUAACGUAGGGAAACUUACGCUAAUACCGCAUACGACCUACGGGUGAAAGCAGGGGAUCUUCGGACCUUGAGCGAUUGAAUGAGCCGAUGUCGGAUUAGCUAGUUGGCGGGGUAAAGGCCCACCAAGGCGACGAUCCGUAGCUGGUCUGAGAGGAUGAUCAGCCACACUGGAACUGAGACACGGUCCAGACUCCUACGGGAGGCAGCAGUGGGGAAUAUUGGACAAUGGGCGCAAGCCUGAUCCAGCCAUACCGCGUGGGUGAAGAAGGCCUUCGGGUUGUAAAGCCCUUUUGUUGGGAAAGAAAAGCAGCAGGUUAAUACCCCGCUGUUCUGACGGUACCCAAAGAAUAAGCACCGGCUAACUUCGUG